AAGAUCAACAGAAAGUGAUUAUGCAACAUUCAACAUUUUUGCGGUACCCAAAGACUUCAUUGAGUUGAUUCAUCUUAAUAUUGUCAUUUUGAUACAAAAUAUCUUUGCAGGAUAUUUGUAGGCACAGCUACCCCAAAUCCCAUUUGCAUUAAUCUAAAACAGACUUGCAGGCCCAGUUCCAGAAAUUCCUUGGGCAAGUCCAUAACGCACAUUCACCGUCAGGCAUGAAGGAAUAGCUUAUCCAGCAGAAAUAUCGGAGGCCAGGCCCCAGUACAAACUCCUUCAGACUUCUCAGUACUCAAGACAUCUCAAGUUUUUGAAGAGUAAAGUAUAAAAUACUGGCAGGGGUGGGUAGGGGGAACAGGAUAAAUUGGUGAUGGCCCAGAAAAAAUAUCCAGGGGGAUCGCAUUUUUCUUCUCCAAAGCAAAACAGAAUUCAUAACUGAAAGAGGAAUAGAGAAAGAGGAAAAAAGUGAUCUGGGACCUGUUGUUUUUCUUGCAUCCCAUUUCUACUCUGCCUGUGAGUGAAGACUGUUGUGGAAAAGUCAACUGGAGAGACCAGGUCAAAGGCCAAGCAGAAGAGGAAUUAGGCUUAAGACUGCACUGAGAGGGAACACUAGACCAUGGUGAUGGAGUCUCGACACGUUGCCCAAGCUGUUCUCAAACUCCAGGGCUUGAACAAUCUUCCCACCUUGGCCUCCCAAGGCACUGGAAUUACAGAGACAGUGCUCUGCAGGGAGUCUACCACUGUGAUGGUUAAUACUGAGUGUCAACUUGAUUGGAUUGAAGGAUGCAAAGUAUUGUUCCUGGGUGUGUCUGUGAGGGUGUUGCCAAAGGAGAUUAACAUUUGAGUCAGUGGGCUGGGAAAGGUAGACCCAGCCGUAAUCUAGGUGGGCACCAUCUAAUCAGCUGCCAGCACAGCUAGAAGAUAAAGUAGGCAGAAAAACAUGAAAACAUUAGACUGGCCUAGCCUCUGAGCCUACAUCUUUCUCCCAUGCUGGAUGCUCCCUGCCCUUGAACAUCAGACUCCAAGUUUUUCAGUUUUGGGACUGGGACUCACUAUCCUUGCUCCUCAGCUUGCAGACAGCCUAUUGUGGGACCUUAUGAUCAUGUGAGUUAAUACUUAAUACAUAAAUAUAUAUAUAUACACACACACAUAUACACACACACACACACAUAUAUAUAUACACACACACACACAUAUAUAUAUAUAUCUGUCCCUCUAGAGAACCCUGACUAAUACAACUACUAAUAAAAAUUGGGGCAAAAGACAUUGAUUGGGUAUUGUAAGUAGGUUAUGCUCACAGUAGCAAUAUCUCUUAAGACUUUUUAAAAGACUUCCUAAUAAAAGAGAUUUAAAAUACAGCAAAUAACAAGUUUGUGCAUUUUCAAUUUCAUUAUCAGCACCACCUUCAUUAUCCAAAGUUAUUACUAAAGCUUAUGACACAUACAGCAUGAGCAGCAGACAGAAAAUUUUGAAGUCAGUGCCUCUGUGGUUCACAGGUGCAGAGGCAGACAUCACAGCUGUCAAGCAGUUAUUUACAAGAGAGACACUUCUCCAGUAGUAAUUGACAACCUUCUUUAAGGGAAAAGAGGCUGCAAAACUGUGGAAUAUUAGAACAUGAAGCCAAAGAGGAAAACUGACUUGCCUAAGGCCACUCAACAAAUUAUUCAGCCAGAAUGGGAACUCAUACUUGACUUCAACUUCUUAUUCCUCGUGUUCUUACUCCUACAAGUUUUCCACUACUCAGGGGCUCUUUAGGGUAAAUUAACCAUGAAAACACACACAUGCACACACACAUACAAACUAAAUUCCAUUCAUAUUAAGAUAUGCUUCCUUUUUUCUCUCCCCUAUCCAUGGUAGUAAUAACAAGAAGUAAAAGCUUUUUCAUUAUAAAGUAAACUUCCAUUUUUCUUUCUUGAUACGUUUUCAGGUUUUCCUCUAAAAGUAAUUAAAAGUACUACUCAAGUUGUUCCUAGUUGUCUAGAAUGGCUUAUGCUGCCAUUAGCUUCUACAGCUCUGUCAUUAGAGAAAUGGACUGUACUUCUUCUUCACCUUUCACAUGCGGCCAAAAUUGGGUUACUUUAAAAGGCCAGAUGUCAAAAGCAGAUAAAUCCUUUGUACUGUAAUGAGCAUAAUGAUGAAUAAUGGCACUUAUGUUCAAUAAACGAUGCCCUGCCCAUAAACAGCCUUUCCUCUCAGAUAUUCUAUUUAAUUCAAUGAUAUAUUCCAGGUAAUUUGUGGAACUGAAUGAGAAAUUACCUUAAACAAGAAGACUUUGGAAUUUACUAAAAUAUACUUGUUGAAAAUAAUUAAUGGAAGCAGAGUUUGCAUUAGUAAAAUUAUGGCAUUAAAAUCCGUCAUUGCAUGAAUUCAUCUUCCAAGUGGCCUGCCUUGGAGCAGGUGUACAGAUGAGGGCAUUGUGGCAUGAACAAUGUUGGUAGUAAAAGGCAUGCUAUUGAUAUCAAUGUGCCAUGGUAUGUGGUGCUCUUUGUGUGUUUUAAGAACAGAGACAAUCCAUAUAGUGUUGAUCAUCUCCCACUUAAACUACUGUAAAACCCAACUGAUCUUGCUACCUAUAUUCCAUGGAACUAUCCUAGUAAUCUUUGGAAAACAUAAAUCACAUCACGCCACUAACCCCCACUCAAACUACUAAUGGUUUCCCACCAUAGUUGAAGUAAAAAUCCAAAAUGCUUUCCAUGCUCUAUAAGACUGUAAAAAGACCUAUCUCUAGCCUGCCUCUCUGACAUUAUCGUCUACUAUUCUUUCCCCCUUGCUACUCCACACUAGUUACACUUGCAGUAUUGAUAGUUCUUAAAUAUUCAAAGAUAUUCCUUCCCCCAGGGACCUUGCGGUUUUUUUCUCCACUAUAUCUCAUUUUUGCAUGAAUCACUUCCUCAUCACAUUCAAGAAUCUGCUUAUAUAUCAUCUACAACUUCUAUUCCCAGCAACACAGCAAACUACAUACCUUGAAAAAAAAACUUUCCCAGUGGAGAACAGCUAAAAUUGCUUUAAAAAUGCAUUUUUAGAUACUUUAAUUGUUUAAUUGAGAAGUUUUUUAAAAAAUCGUAGAAACCAAAAAGUUAAAGCAAAAACAUUAAUCUCAAAAGGUAAGAGAAUACUGAAAACGAUGCCUGUCCUGGGACAAUGGCUGAUCGCUGAUAGUCCAGAGCUGCACUGUUCGAUACAGUAGCCACUUGCCACCUGCGACUAUUUAAAUUUUUUAAAAAAUUAUAAAUUUAAUUUCUCAAUUACAUAAGCCACACUUCAAGUGUUCAAUAAUCACAGUGGCUGAUGGAUACCAUGUUGGACAACACAAAUACAGAACGUUUCCAUCAUAUAGAAAGUUGAAUUGGAUGCUCUGAUCUCAAUUUUUAAACAAAACCUAGAGCCCAUUGAAAGAGAAAGUUAGAUUGGAGACCUCCUCCUAUUUCAGGUACACAGAUCCCCCUAAAGAAAAAAACACUACACCUACAAGGAACAUCCGAGCUAGAAAGAAAAUCUUUCCUCCCAAAGUAAAACAGGAAAAACAAUGCAUGUCUAAGACUUGACCCCAAAUUGAAGAAAAAAAUGUUCUUCUAGAAUACAUAACAAUCUGUUCUUCACAUAUGUUUGGAGCCAGAAUUUUCUCUACCUCUAUGAUCCAAUUAAUUUGAAGCUGAGAAAUUUCUUUAAACUAAUGCUGGAAUGGGAGUGUCACCAUGUUCCCAACAGAAGUAAAUGUAAACCAUCUAUUAAGGAACCUACCCUAAAUCCCAGGCUUCAACAAAAUCCCUGCAAAAUGUAUAAAAAUAUAUAUGCUCACAAAAAUAAAAUACGAAAGUAAAUAAGAUACUAAGAGUGAGCAGAAACCACUGAAAGAAGAGUAAAACUCUCAAAUACUGUAGAUAUUAGAAUUAUUGUAUAUAGAAUAUAAUGGUUAUGUAAUAAAUACCCUUAAAAUAAGAGUGUCAAUACUACAUUUAAUAAAUGAUUUACUACAUACAGCCAUUAUGGAAAACAAUACAGAGCUUCCUCAAAAAACUAAAAACAGAACUGCCAUAUGACCCAGCAAUCCCACUGCUGGGCAUAUAUCCAAAAGAAAGGAAAUCAGUAUGUCAGUGAGAUAUCUGUACUACCAUGGUUAUUGUAGCACUAUUCGCAAUAGCCAAAAUAUGGAAUCAACCUGAGUGUCCACCAAUAGAUGAGUAGAUUUUUUUAAUGUGGUAUAUAUAACAAUGAAGUAGUAUUCAGCCAUAAAAAAGAAUGAAAUUCUGUCAUUUGCAGCAACAUGGAUGGAAUGGGAGGUCAUUAUGUUAGUGAAAUGAGCCAGUCACAGAAAGACAAACAUCACAUGUUCUCACUUACAUGUGGAAGCUAAAAAACUGAAUCUCAUGGAGGUAGAGAACAGAAUGAUGAUUACAAGAGGCUGGGAAAGGAAGUGGGGAAGGGGAAUGAAGAUGAGUUGGUUAAAGGGUACAACAAUAUUGUUAGAAGGAAUAAGUUCUAUUAUUUGAUGGUAUAGUAUGGAAAUUAUAGUUAACAAUAAUUUAUUAUAUAUUUCAAAAUAGCUAAAAAAGAAGAAUUAUAAUGUUCCCAACACAAAAAAAAAUGUUCGAGGUGAUGGAUAUCCCAAUUACUCUGAUUUGACUACAUAUUGUACGCAUCUGUCAAAUUAUCACAUGUAUCCCAAAAAACAUGUACAAUUAUGAUAUAUCAAUAAAAAUACAAAUAAGACACUACAAAAAUGAUUAGGUUUUUUUAAAAAGUCUAGAAAUUUAAAAUAUAGUAAAUAAUAUUUUUGAACAGAUUUGAAAUGAUUGAACAGAAAGUUAAUAAUUGGAAAAUAACUCUGAAGAAAUUACACAGAUUAUAGCCUAAGAUAACAAAGUGAUUGAUAGGGGGCUAUAGUAAUAAAUAUAAUUGAAGUUUGGAAAUAAGGUAAUAGAAAUAGACAAUAUUUGAAGGGUAAAUGGCUAAGGAUUUUCCCAAAUUAUGAAAGUCAUAAAUUCCCAGGUUCCAGAAGCCAAACAAAUGCUAGAAGGGUAAAUAAAAAGAAACACACAUGUAGAGAUAUUGUAAUGAACCUGCAGAAUACCAAAGAUAAAACUAUUUUUAAAGUAGACAGUAAAAAGGCAAACCAGCAACAAAGUAAUAUCAAUUAGACUGAUGCCUGACUUCUCAAAAGCAGCAGUGAGGCUAGAAGUAAAUAGAAUAACAACUUCAAGAUUAGACAGUUAUGACCUAGAAUUAUAUACCAAGUGAAAAUGUUGUUUCAAGAAUUAAGGCUGUGUCAAUCAAACUUUAUCUUAGAUCAGGGUCUCUAGAAAUACAGCUUGAAACAGGAAUCUCUAUACAGGUGAUUAACUGACAGACUUCUCUCCUGAGUAAAUUAUAAUGAUGUAAGGGGAACAGGAUAAGGCAGGGGAAGAAACUCAAGAUGUGGUUUCAGCUAUAGUCUAGCCCCAGCCUGACCUCAAGGGAGUUCUGGAGUAUGAUUAUCACCACGUGGUUGUCCCACCUUGAGGCAAAAGGCUUAGGUGUCUUUCAAAGACCCAGGUGUUGUUUAUUAAUUCCUCACAUCAAGUAUCUUCUCCAUCAAGACUUUAACUGGUGUUUUAGAGCCAUGUUAAGACAAAUAACUUAGGCAUUACUUAUAAGCUUUACUAUUUUCAUUGUUCAUUUAAAUUUUUUAUAUAUCAUGGCCUUAAUAUGUAGUCUUUUAAAGUUAUGUUAUAUUUACACUCAAGGCACAUGAUAUUAAUAUAUUCACCACUGAGAUUGUCUGUGCUAAUAUUUUGCUACAUUCCCUUUAGAUUGUCAUUAUUUUCAAAGAAACAACACAUUACAAAUACAGUUACAGUCCCACCUUCCAUCUCUUCCUCAUUCCUGUCUACUCAGAAGUAACCCUUUUUCUGAAAUAAGUAUUAUCAUACUCAUAUAUGUUUAUUUCUUUCCUUUGGAUAAACUUCCUAAAUGUUUGAUACUCUAUAUUCAACUUUUUUUUUUUUUAGCCACAACAUUAUAUCUCUGAGACUUGCUAUGUUGAUACAUUCAAAUCCAAUUCAUUCAUUUUCAUUUUAGGCAUUCUGCUGGACCAACAAACAACAGUGUAUUUUUUCAUCCCCCUGCUGUUUGACAAUAAGAUUUUCUUAGCCUUGUAACAAUUAACAACUCAAAAAUAUACAUCUUUGUAUAUGUCUCCUUGAACAAGAGUUUCUCCCUGAGAAGCUCCCAGAAGAAGAACUGUUGGGCUAUGGAGAAUAUGCAUUGUCAACCUUACUUGGUAGUUCCAACAUAGCUUUCCAAAGUGUUUAUACUUAUUUUCCGUCCCUGCAACCACGCCUUGGAGUUCUUGUUUUGUUUGCAUUAUCACCAACAGUGAAUAUUAUCAAACUUAAUAAAUUUGUAAAUAUAAAAUGUUUUGUCCUUGUUUUAAUUUACAUUUCCUAAGUACUAAAGAAGUUGGACAUCUUUACAUAUAUUUAUUGGCCAUUGUAUUAGUUCAUUUUCACACUGCUAAUAAAGACACACCUGAGCCUGAGUAAUUUAUAAAGAAAAAGAAAUUUAAUGGACUCAUAGUUCCACAUGGCUGGGGAGGUCUCACAAUCAUGGCAGAAGGUGAAUGAGGAGAAAGACAUGUCUUACAUGGCAGCAGACAAGAGAGAGCAUGUGAGGGGAACUGCUGUUUAUAAAAUCAUCAGAUUUCAUGAGACUUAUUCACUAUCAAGGGAACAGCAUGGGAAAAACCCGCCCCAUGAUUCAAUUACCUCCCACAGGCUCCCUCCCAUGACACAUGGGGAUUAUUAGAAUUCAAGGUGAGAUUUGGGUGGGGACACAAAGCCAAACCAUAUCAGCCAUCUAUCUUCCUCUGUCAGUUUACCAUUAUAUAUUUUAACAAUAUUUAUAUCUGAUAUUAUUGAUUUCUAAGAGCAUUUUAUAUAUUCUGCGUAUUAAUAUUUCAUUGGUAAUAUGAGUUGCAAGUGUCUUUUCUCAGUCUAUGACUUUUAUUUUCAUCUCUGUCCCCUUUUAUACAGAAGUUUUAUGUUUCAGUGUAUCAGAAUGUAUUAAUUUUUCCUUUCGUGCUUUCUCUAAGAAUUAUAUCUUAGGAGUAAGUUCAAGAGAGCUAUUGUACAAUAUGGUUGUAUAGUUAAUAACAUUUUGAAAAUCACUGACUAGAUUGUUUUUACCACAAAAAAUGAUAAGUACAUGAUGUAAUGUAUGUGUUAAUUAGCUCAAAUGAGCCAUUCCACAAUGUAUACGUAUUUCAAAACAAUGUUGUACACAAUAAGUAUAUAAAUAUAUGCAAUUUCUAUUGGUCAAUUAAAAAUAUAUUUUACUAAAGGCAUAAAAAUAUUCUCCCAUUUUUUGGUUGAAAGUUUUAGAGCUUUGCUGAUCACAUUUAGGUCUUUAAGCUAUCUGGAAUGUAUUUUUGUGAAUGAUGUGAUAUAGCAAUCUCAUUUUAUCUUGUACUAUAUAAUGGCCAAGUUCCUCAGCAUCAUUUAUUGAUGAUUUUAUCCCCUUUCUCAUAUAAAAAACUCCCAAG
rnacentral:lncRNA from 1 species